UACCUUUUAGAAAUACAAAAAUCAAAACCAAGUAUGAAUCGUGAAAUUUUGAAGAGUAAUUUCCAAAUGAAAUCCUUAUUAGGAGUAUCUGAAAACUAAAAUAUGGAAAGAACUUAAAGAUGUAUUGCUUUACAAAAUUUUAUUUUACUUUUUAAAAUAGAAAGCAUGCAGAAAACACUAUAAGUUAUAAUCAAUGGGAAAAUAGGAAAUACAUAAUACUUUUUUUUAGUGUGAAAAUGAAAACACUUUCAUCAAAUAAGUCAAAUCCUUGCAAUGAGACAUAAACUUGUUAUUCGUUGGUACAGUAGUUUUGUGGCCUGUGCCUUUAAAAUAUUUAUAUUCUCCAAUGAUCGGGCUAUGCAGUUCAAAACAUUUCAUCUUCAUCACUAUUUUGUUCUUCUUUCUCUUUCUCGUCCUUUCUUUAGCGAGUUUUCCUUCUCAGUUUAUUCUAAUGCUGUCUUUUGAUUUUUGGGUUUUUAAUUUGUGAUUUUAAUGGGAGAGAUUAAACUUAAAUAGAAUGAGUUUUUAAUAUUUCACAUAUUAGAGUAACCCUAGAUUUUGAUUGUGUCCUUGUUAUUGUAGAUUGUGUCAUUUUCUAAUUGAUAAAGCUUAUUAUAGAUUUGCGUCUUUAUUUAUAUGGCUCUAGAUUGUUCGUAGUUUCUCAAGCGUGUUUUAGUAUAUUUAAUACUUUUUUUACAUUCUCUAU
rnacentral:lncRNA from 1 species